rnacentral:lncRNA from 1 species
AGGGUGUGGCCAAGAACGCCCCUCUCGAGUUCCAGAACACCAAGCUCAUGACCCGUCUCACCUACACCCUCGACGAGAUCGAGGGUCCCUUCGAGGUUACACCUGACGGAACGGUCAAAUUCGAGGAGAAAGACGGGAUCGACUAUGCUGCUGUGACGGUUCAGCUUCCCGGGGGUGAGCGUGUGCCGUUCCUCUUCACCAUCAAACAGUUGGUGGCCACUGGGAAGCCAGAAAGCUUCAGUGGGGACUUCCUUGUUCCCUCUUACCGAGGUUCCUCUUUCUUGGACCCCAAGGGAAGGGGUGCCUCAACCGGUUAUGACAAUGCUGUUGCUCUGCCUGCUGGUGGCAGAGGAGAUGAGGAGGAACUUGCGAAGGAGAACAACAAAAGUGCUUCAUCUUCCAAAGGGAAAAUCACCUUGAGUGUGACCAAGACCAAGCCAGAAACUGGAGAGGUUAUUGGGGUGUUCGAGAGUGUUCAGCCUUCUGAUACUGAUUUGGGGGCUAAAGCUCCUAAGGAUGUGAAGAUCCAAGGUGUCUGGUAUGCUCAACUUGAGUCAUAGACAUGUUUUUUAUGCUGUAAUUCUAUUUUCUUGUAACUUGUUAAGAAGCACUCAGAGCAUUACCUUGUGUGUAUAUUAUAACGACUUCGAUUAUAAUAAUGUCUAAAAUUAAAAUCUCUCUUUACCUUUUCGACCAUUCAUACUCACUUGUACAAAUGUCUGUUUCUGGUUGCCCCUGAGUGCUUCUUGUUCGAACCUAGCUUAGGUUGUAGGAAACAAUCGCGUUUUCUACAAAGCUGUGCAAAAUAAGCGAUUAUUUCUCAAACAUAAACGGAAUGAUAUGUUGGAGAGUCUCUCAUGAAACCCGAGGUUGGAUCAGUGUCCUUGAUCUUGAUGUAUGAAGUUUGGAAACUCAUCUUAAAUGGUGUCUACGAUUAUCUUAUACUCCUAUCGAACGCCGAUACUCGCAUGACACCGGUAGGACACGUAUCUGGGAAGUGUCAAAUUCAAAAAGUAUUUGUUAAAUUUAUGAUAUUUCUAGGAUGGUUUUAACACAAUUUAAAAAAAAAAAUUAAUUUUUUCAAAAUUCAAACUUUACUGUAUAAAUUGUUAUUAUGAUUAUAAAAAUAAGAAACAAAUUCUUGUGAACCAGUCAUGAAAAACAUCUUUCUGUUCCAAAAAAUAAUUUGAAACAUACUUAUGCAGAUAAAUCUUUAUUGUCAAUUUAUAUAAUAAUUAUAUAAUAUAUAUCCGUGUUCCCGUGUCUUACAUUUUAGAGAUUUUACGUAUCUAUGUGUGUCCGUGUCGUAUCAGUGUCCGUGUUACUGUUUGUUUGUGUAGGUGUUAUUACUUUCCUACUUGGAAUGAUUGGGGGAUUCACGACACGAGAAAACUCAUUUCAACCUCUGCUCUGUUUUAGAAAAGAAUGGAGAAAAGUAAAGCUGAAACCUGAUUUUAGACUGAACCUUCCGCACUUUAUAUACUAUAUAUUGUGUUAUUAAACUGUUACGAUUAAACUAUUGAGUCUUAUAAGCAUUUUGGCGAUACAGCAACUGAAUUUGCUUGAUAAACAUGAAUCAGUGGAAGAAUGAUAAAAGGUAAAGAGAGAGAGAGGUUCUAUGGUGCUAUUCACCGAAGUUCAUUUUUUGAGUAAUAUUUUCAUCGCAACUCAACUUGUAUGUGACCUGUUUAUUUUUAUAAAACAUUAUCUCCUAUUACAUGAUUUUAAGAAUAAGAAAAAAAAAGAAAAAGAAAUUUGUGAAUAGGAUUUUAUUGAGUUUUAAAAUUAUUGUGUUGGGUUCAUAUUAAAGCUAUUUUUUUUAAGAAAAUUGACAUUAUUAUUUAUAUUGAUUACGAAAAAAUUUGGUCACCAUAUUAAUUAAUGAGGAAAUUAAAAUGAAUAUAAUCCUAAAAUUUAAAUAUUAAACAAAUUAUUGAAUUAUAUUAUUUUCAUAUUAAAUCUUUCUAUUGUUCUUACUUUAUAGUUUAGUAAAAUAUAUAAAAAGUAAGAUUCGGUUGAUUCUCAGGAGAAUUAUUCAUGAUGAGUGAGAUAUUACUCACUUAUAAUGUACAAAUACAAGUAAUUAACUAUGAAUUUUUAAGGGAACUGAUGGCAAAACGCACCUUGUAUGAACAUUUUAGUAUUCACUUCGUUCAUACAUACUUAUGUAUGUAUAGUAAACAUUUAGACCUGCUCCUUUUACGCUUCAAACAUGAAAAAGUUAUAACAAAUAUUGCAAUAAUCAAUUUAUUUCAACUGUGAUUGUGUUUGAUUAAUCAUUAAUUCUCAUUUUAUUAUUUAGUUUUAAAUGGUAUUACGUUUCGAAAACAAUAUUUACUCCUGAGAGGUAGAAUUAGUAAAUUUUUCAUUCUGCAAUGGAUGAAACAAUCAUUUGCAGUUACUUAAGAGUUAUUAAUCUUGAUUUUACAUGAUUAAUCAGUUUAGUGUAGCAAUCUGAACCACUCCUUGUGUUUUCCCAGAGAAAUAAUUAUGUGUUUUUUUUAAUUAAUUUUGAAAUGUGGGGUUUGAUUUACCCGUUUUCUAAAAUUUAGAAGUUCAAAACGAAGCUGACACACGAAAUGAGACCAAACUGGAACAAUACAAUAUUUUUGAAUUAAAAACAGAAAAAUGAAUACAUAGGAUUGACACAAGAACCUCGGGUAGUACUAGGUUUGAUACUUCUAUUUCAUGUUAUCCACUCUGAAACUGAAACCCGCGACCAUUGGUUCCCGCCUUUUUUGCGUUGGCUCUCUACAAACACAAAUCAGCAAAACCAUAUGGCACAAGUUGAAGUCACCCACUCACCAAACCCUUCACCAUCUCCUGGAUCAAAGUUCCUCCUUGAGACAACUCAAGAUUGUGCAUGCCCAGCUCAUUCUCCAUGGACUUGCUGCCCAAGUUGUCACCCUAGGCAAGCUAGUCUCCCUUUGCGUUCAAGAGGGAGAUCUCCGUUAUGCACACCUCCUGUUCGAUCAAAUUCCCCAACCCAAUAAAUUUAUGUACAAUCAUUUAAUAAGGGGCUAUUCGAAUAUCGAUGACUCAAUAAACUCUUUGUUGCUCUACCGCCAAAUGGUAAGGGCGGGCCUUAUGCCAAACCAAUUCACCUUUCCCUUUGUUUUCAAAGCUUGUGCUGCCAAACCCUUCUACUGGGAAGCUGUUAUUGUUCAUGCUCAGGCCAUUAAGCUCGGAAUGGGGUAUAAAGCCUGUGUGCAAAACUCAAUUUUGGCUGUCUAUGUUGCUUGCCGUCUAAUACCAAGUGCACGGCAAGUGUUUGAUGAUAUUUCUGACAGGACUCUGGUAUCCUGGAAUUCUAUGAUAGCGGGGUAUUCUAAAAUUGGCCAUUGUCAUGGUGCAGUUAUGUUGCUGGAAGAAAUGCAACAUCAGGGAGUACAGCCUGACGUGUUCACCUUUGUUAGCUUGCUUUCUGUUUCCUCAAAGAAUGGUAAUUUGGAUUUGGGAAGAUUUGUCCAUCUUUAUAUCAUUACUACUGAUGUUCAAAUUGAUUCAAUUGUGACCAAUGCCCUGAUAGAUAUGUAUGGCAAGUGCGGGAAUUUGCAAUAUGCUAAACGUGUUUUUGAUCGAAUGCUUGAUAAAAACGUUGUCUCUUGGACAUGUAUGGUGAAUGCUUAUGCUAAUCAUGGUCUUAUUGAUAACGCUGUGCAAAUGUUUAAUCAGAUGCCAGUGAAGAACGUGGUUUCUUGGAAUUCAAUAAUUUGGUGCCAUGUUCAGGAAGGGCUUUACACGGAAGCUAUGCAACUUUUCUACAGGAUGUGUAUUUCAGGUGUGAUUCCUGACGAUGGUACUCUUGUUAAUAUUCUUUCAUGCUGCAGUCACAUGGGUGAUCUGGCAUUGGGAAAACAAGCCCACAAUUACAUCUGUGGUAAUAAUAUUACAGUGAGUGUGACGCUUUGUAACUCCCUAAUAGACAUGUAUGCAAAAUGUGGUGCUCUUGAUACUGCUAUGGACAUCUUCUUUGGGAUGCCUGAGAAGAAUGUGGUGUCAUGGAACGUUAUUAUUGGGGCACUUGCUUUGCAUGGUUUUGGAGAAGAGGCAAUUGAGAACUUCAGGAGGAUGCAAGCUAGUGGGCUGUGUCCCGAUGAGAUUACCUUCACAGGGUUACUUUCAGCUUGUAGUCACAGUGGUCUUGUGGACAUGGGGCGAUAUUACUUUGACACAAUGAGUUCUACAUUCGGGAUUUCUCCUAAUGUUGCACAUUAUGCAUGCAUGGUUGAUCUUUUAGGGCGUGGGGGAUUCAUAGGAGAAGCAAUGACCCUGAUACAAAAGAUGCCUGUUAAACCUGACGUUGUCGUUUGGGGUGCUCUGCUUGGUGCUUGCAGGACCUAUGGAAAUCUGGAGAUUGCAAAGCAAAUCAUGAAGCAGUUGCUGGAGUUGGGACGAUAUGACUCUGGGCUUUAUGUGCUUCUCUCAAACAUGUAUUCGGAGUCUCAAAGAUGGGAUGACAUGAGAAAGAUCAGGAAAAUAAUGGAUGACGGUGGGAUACAGAAGUGUAAAGCGAUUAGCUGCAUUGAAAUUGAUGGCUGUUGCCAUCAAUUCAUGGUGGAUGACAAAAGACAUCUUACUUCAGCCAGUAUAUACUCCAUGCUGGAUCAAUUAAUGGAUCAUCUAAAGUCUGUUCAUCUCUGUAAAUCUUUUGAUGUGGUUGACAUAUACUACUCUGGCAAUCUUCAGUAAUUCAGCAACAAGUUUGAUGGAUGGAAUAGUAACAUCAUAAAAAAAAUAAAUUAUGAUAUAUUGAUAAUUUAUAUUUUUUCUACUUUUAUAAACAACUCUUAAUACUAUUAUUUUAAUUAUUUUUUAUAUUAUUUAAUUAUAAAUUUAUUUUUAUUAUAUUUUAUUUUGUUAAAACUUUCACAUCAAAGUUGUGUGAUAUUUAAAAAAUAUAAUUUUUCAAAAUUAUCAUUCCCUUCCAAUUCCAAUGACAUCUUCUGUUGAAAAAAACAAACAAAAAGGUUAACUUUUUUUCAUAUAUAUAAAUUAUAAGCCAUCAUGAUAUUAGGAGACUUCCUUUAAGCCGUGUUUGUUUCCGGCUAUUUCCGUGGAAAAGAAAGUGAGUACUCCCCCUAUCUGUAUCUAAUGAUUUACGAAUAAAGAAGAGAUCGAUCAUUUUUGGGAGAAAGGUGUUUCAUCUCAACUUUUAAGAUGUGAAGAAAUUACGAGUUAAUAGUUGGCAUUGGAACCAUAAGGUUAAAAUUCUUCAUAAGAAGGAACAUUAUGAAAAUGUGAGGUUGAGAGGUGCAUGAUGAUUACAAGACUUGUUAAAGAUGAAGAUAGAGAAACACCGAAUGUAGAAGUUCAAUUUGGAUGGUUAAUAGCUGUUUAGUUGUGAAAAAGUGGUGGCAAUGCAAGUUAGUUUAAAACAAAACUAUAAAGCAACUUCAAUAUUCUCUCAAUAAUGGUGCGAAAUUGGAGUGAGAGGAAUGGUAGGUAAAGAGGGAGAAACUAUCUUAUUGCAUAUUAUUAAAAAGACGAUAUUGUUUUUCUCCUUUACCUGUGUAGAAUGAAGGAAUGUUAAAGAGCAUGUUGCAGGUUUAUUGAGAAGUGCGGUUAGUGUUGAGCAAAUGAUCAGAGAUGGGUCACCAAAUUUUACAUAUAAAAGGAGCAAACACACCUAUCUGGAUUUAUGAGUUCUUGAAUUUUGUUUAUUAUGUUUGUUAGAUCUGGUUUGUAAGCAUGUAUCUGGCUGGGAUGACUUUCAUAACAACAAAAUUAAUAUGUAUAAUAUGUCCUGCAAUGUGGGUGUAAUGUGGGUCACCACAUACUACCACCAUCUAAGUUGAGUGAAUUUUGUGCUUACUUAACUGCCCUACACAUUUGGCCUCUAAAACCCUGAUUUAACUCACUUUUUCCCUACUUCUUUGUAUAUUCUAAUUCUAUCCAAUUGCCCUUCUUUGUGUAUCCUAACAUACUACUAUGAAAUAAAAUACUACAUUAACAUAACAGUCAAAUAUAGAGCCACCAAGUAACCACAACAUGAAAUACUAAAAUAGAUUGUCUUAAGUGUGUGUGCAAGAAAUUGACUUUGGCCCAUACAAGACUCAACACAUGGCAAAUAACAGGGAUCGCACAACACAAAUCACACAACAUGAAUGUUUCAUUUAAUAAAGAAAUUAAUAGAAAAUGUAUUACAUUUGGUCACUAAUCCUUAAACUCAACCACCAUGAAAAGAGAUGCACAAGUGAUGAACGGUAGAAGAGAAGGUAGAGAAGAAAGCUUAAGAAGAAGGUGGAAGAGUAUACGCACAAUACUAGAGAACUGAACGACAACAACAAGUCACUGAAAAAUAAAAAAAAUAGUAAAAGAAGAUACUAAUAUGAAGAAGAAGAACAAAAAAAAGAAACAAACUGAAAAACAAUACAACUAAACAUAGUCUCAAUUUGUUAUACUCUAAUUUCACAUUAUAACCCUUCCACCCAAAUGUUAAAUAUUUUCAAAAUAUUUUCGCAGAUCCCACCAUUACAAAUAAAAUAUCAUUAAUUUUGUCACGGUUGUACGUGGAGCAACUCUGUGACGUUGUUCAAAUAUCGGGACUCUUUACUCAUACCAAACCAAUGAUUAUUUAAAGUAGCAUGGGAGGGAGCUUCAAGUCUUCAACAUUCAUAUACUUAUAAAUCAAAAGGAACCCUAAAAAAAAUCCUCCUGUCUAAUAAUAAGUGUAUAUAAUAUUGCAGUAUAUUUAUGCAGCAGGACCAAAUUAGUUGGAUUUGGAAGCACCCAAGUGUCGGCAACCACAAAUUAAGCAUGAUAAUGUGGAGUGUUUUGUAUUUGGACUUAAAAGCAUACCAUAAACAACAAUACUAAUCUUUGUUGUUUCAGUGUAUUAGAUUUUUAAGUCCCAUGACAUUAUGACAAUUUUUAUAUGCCUUUUUUUAUAUGUUUUGGGAUAUUCGAUUCGUUGGCGUGCACAAAUUUUGACCUCUCAAAAUAUAGGAGACUUUUUAAAAUGGUCAAUUGAAGAGUACAAAAUGAGUACAAAUGCCCCAAUAUGAAAUCUGCGAAACCAUGCAUUAUAAUUUAUAUUCCUUCAUUCAAUGCAUCCUUCGCACAUGACCAAUCACAUACUAAAGGUACUUCCACGGAUCUCUAGCUAACACCCUCCUAAGACCACCGUCGCCAAAUAAUAAACCAAACCAAAAGACAAAACCAAAUUAUUCAGUGCUGUUAUCAAAUAUAUUUCGCCAAAAGCUAAAAACAAAAUUAUGUUAAGGACCAUUUUAAAAUGUCUUCAAAGAUUUUUUGUUGAAACACACAAUACAUAUCCUUCAGGUACAUGAUUCUAUAUUCAAGAUUAUCAAAUAUUAUUGUUUGCUUAAUAUUUUAACUCUUAAAAAUAUCUGUAAGCUAGACAUUUAAUAAAAUGUGUCUCUUAAUUAAUUGAGGAAUUUACAGAGAUAUAAAAUAAAUAUUUCACCAGUUUCUUAAACUGUGGGCAAACAUAUAGUUUAAGAUUUCCUAUAUUUAGGACAUACGUAAGGAGUGAUUUUCUCCAAUCAAACCGCCAGUUUUCUAAGUUUAUAGUUGAAUCUUAAUCAAGCAUUCAAUUAUGAACGCGUUAAAUAAAUGAGAAAACACUUACUGGAAAAUAUGUGUUACAUUAAUCAUUAAGGAGUUCUAGAAAAACAACAUAAGAAUCUAAUUGCAUGUAUAAUAGCAAGAGGGAAGCUGAAGAAGAUCUCCAUGAAAAAUUUGCAGCAAAAUUUAGGAUGAGUCUCUCUACACUAGUAUAUAUUUCCUAUACUUUAUGAUGUAAACACAUAUAAGAAAAUAAAAACUUAUUCUUUCGUCUUACCUAUAAACCAUAACCCUAAACCUAAAAUAUGUAUAUCUAACCUCAUGUUAAAAUACUUAGUUACAUUCAAAAAGAAAUCAAUGAGAAUAUAUAAAAAUGGACCAAGGCAAUGUUGUCAUCUCAAAAUCAUCAACAAAUAGCAUAUUCAUUUGAAAAAAUGAUAGGAAAAUGUAAUUUAACGUAAUACAAUAUUAUUUAAUUUAAAAAAUAAGAAAUUAAAAUUUAAAAAAAAAUCAUUUAAAAGAAUCUCUAAAGUCAGUUAACUUCAUUAAAUGAUAUUAAAUGUUAAAUAAUUGAGGUAGGUAGCAUUUGUCCUUUAUAAAUUUUGUGUGGCCAUUGAUUCUUCUCUCACUCCCCCACCAUUAUUAAUUCAUGCCGGAAACGUGCCACAAUACUUCCAAUUCAACCUUCAAACUUUGUAAAUGGUGAAAGGAACACUGGAAAUGGAUUUUGCUCAAAUGUGUACUUUUAGUAAUUUGUGAACCACGUUUAAGCUCAGAAUAAGAAAUUGCAAUAUAUCGUUAUAAGCUCUAAAAUAGAAGAGUUCAAUCAAUGUACAGAGCAGUUUCAAUAUAAACUAAGAUUAUGGUGACUGGGACACUAUCAGCAAGUACAAGUCAUUUUCAAGAAUAAAAAAAAUACACAAUGCCUUUUCACAAUUAUUGAUUGGAUUCUCUUUUCACCUAAAAUAAUAUCACAGUCUCAGUUACAGUAUAGUUGUAACGCAUGAAAUUCCUUGCAAAGAAAGAGAAAAGACGCAACAAAUUCUUCCACUUCUGUUUGUUGUGAUGGGAUGGAAGAGAACUGUGAAUGAAAUCUAGAAAAUAAAAAAUCGAGACCUGUGGUGUAGAAUUUUUUCUUCGAGUCUAGUGAAAAAAAAAAAGGAAACUUACUAUUCAUGUAUAUUUAUGGUUGGUUUUCUAAAGAGUUUUUACAAAGCUUUAUUAGUUGAAAGUAUAAUUAAUCAUGCUACGUGUAUUUAUGUUAAUUGUUGAAGUACAUAUUAAAUCUUAUUUAAUCAAUGUAAAAACUCACACGCAACAAUGCACCCUUAAUUUGUUAUGUUUUUCCAUAAUUGGUUAACUCCAUGUUAAGUAAUUCAUUAAAUUAACACGUACUUGUUUCUUCUUCUUUCUUUUCUUCUCACCUUCCAAAUACAAUGUUAGAGUGGUGCACAAAAGAAAAAUAAAGAAGGAACUAAGAGUAAUAUAAAAUAAUAAAAUUUAAAAACAUAAGAGAAUUAAGAUAAAACUUCAAUUGAUAAUAAUUGUUGGAUCUGUUGGAAUCUCACGUCGACAAGAGAUUAAAACAUUUCAUUGUAUAUAAGUGGGUGCAAAGCUUAACCUUAUGAGUCGAUUUUAUGGGAUUGAGUUAGGUUUAAAGUCUACUUCUUAAUAAUAAUCCUUCCAUCGCAAUACUUUUUUAGAAGAAUGAAUAUUUUUAAUGAAAAGAUUGAAAUCAAAUUUAAAACCCGAUCUAAUUGUGAACUUACAUAUUAAAAAAAAAGUAAAAAACUAAUAAAUCAACGAAUUUAUUAUGGGGUCACAGUUUUGAAAAAGGUGUAAAAGGAAUAGGAUUUUGAAAAAGAAAAUGGAAAGUAUUUGAAGUGGACCUUGUUUCACGAUAUAGAGCAUGAUUGAGUGGGGAAGGGAAUUAGUGAAGAAGCUUCAUAGUAUGGUUUGAGAGUGGGUCAUGUGAAGAGCAUAAUUAUUAACAUAACAACCAAAUAUUGUAAAGGAAGAGAAAGACAAGUCCUUUUGAACAACAUCAUGGACCUCCAAUUUACUCACAUACAUUGGAAAAAAGAUCAUUUCGCUUUAGAUCCCCACCGAGACCAACAUAAAAGGAGGCACCAAUGUACUUUCCUUUACUUCGUUGAGAAGAAUUUCUUGAUUAGAUUAAGCAUAACAUUCAAGAAAUAGUCAAGUAAAUGAAUGAAGGUAGUUGUUAUUCUUAACUACUGUAGCAUGUUUGCUGUCACUAUGAAAAAUAAAACAUAAUAACAACACAGGUUAAUUACUUUUACAUAAAAUAAAAAAUAUUGGAUCCUGAUAAAGGAGCAAAAAUAGUAGCAGGAAUGGGUUAUGGUGCCUGGUGAAGCUGCAGGGGGUUGGGGCCUGGGGGUUCAACCGAGAUCAUCUUACGCCAGAUUCUGUCGGAGUGUUUCUGCUUCUGCAAUCUUACUUUGUUGUUUAUCAAUUUUAAUUUUUUUUUUAUGUUACACUUUAUUAUCAAUCAUUGAUAUUAUUGUUUUAUUUGUCUGAUUUACUAUUCCCAAUGCCUUUUUCCUUCACGUGGCUUCCUAGCUGCCUUGCAGCGAGGCACCAUACACUUCUCCACCUGCCACGUCUUUUUCUCACGCCAAUCUCCACACACUUGGGUAUUCCAAUUAUAUGUUACACACAGCUUUUGAUACUGUGCAACUUCAUCGACCAUGAAAUUACGUAUUGGUGAAUGAAGAUGGCACUCAAAUCAACAUUAGGCACGAGGUAGUAGUAGUAAUAUGGACCAAGUGGUGUCUAAUUUUCAGCAUGAAAUCGCAAAAAGCGGGGAUCUCUUUCCUCUUACCACGAACUGUUUUGUUUUUUAACACCGAAGAAAAACAGAACACUAAAGUCGGUCUGCCAAAUCUCUCAACAUCGUCAUUAUGAAAUAAAGUGGUCAUAAUGCACACAGCGACUAGCGAGAGAGGCAGAGAUUUAUUUUCACGUGUUGGAACAAUAGCAAACGACAAAAGAAAUAAAAUAAGAAAAACACGAUGCAUAGUUUAUUUAGGAUUAUCCUCCUGUCAGAAAGCAAUGACGUGCGAUGCAUCACACACAUCUGAGUCCCCUUCUAUACAGUUUAUUUACGAUGAAGUAAUGAUGUGAUUCUUCACUAAUGAAAAAUUUGAGUGAUUAAUUUUGGUUGGAGGCGUGUGAAUGGGAGCAACAUUUAGCAUAUGGCAUUUCUGAAUAUGGCAAACUUUAGCAUCCUGUCUUUGUUACAUUAAUUUUUGGCGUCCCAGGAUUAAGCUGAAAAGGGGGAAGAUUAUGGAAGGUUUGGUGAGUAAGUGAGGGUGAAAAAAACACCGCCCCCACGAGAUUUCACGUGAUGUGGUUGCCCUCACAUUUUUAUUCAACUUGCUUUCGAUUCAAACUGAGCCAAAACAAAGGCAGUGGCAUGAGUGGUAAAUAUAUUGAGGAUCUGGAGAAUAGGGUCAGUUUGGCACACUAAUGCGAGCAAGUACUACAACCUGUCAGCACCAACUUACAGCCUGGAAAGCCAUUCCCACUGUUCCAGAAUUGCAUAAUUAAAUUAAUUCCGGAUCCGACGUGGCAAAGUACUCCAUUUCGCUUCCUAUAUAUAUAUUCUUCUUUCUUUUCCCUCUUUCUCCAAACAACAAAUCACCCCAAUUCCCGAUUCCGCUCUCACCGAGUCACACCCACCGUGCUCACUCAGUCACCUCAAUGGGAAACUGCAACUCCUCCGAUUCAACGCAGGUUGCCACGGCCAAGCUUAUUCUUCAAGACGGAAAGUUGCAGGAGUUCUCAUAUCCGGUCAAGGUGUCCUUCUUGUUGCAGAAGUACCCCGCGUGCUUCAUAUGCAACUCCGACGAAAUGGACUUUGACGACGUCGUUUCGGCCAUCGACGAGGACCAGGUCCUUCAACCCGGUCAGCUCUAUUUCGCGCUUCCCCUCAGUCGCUUGAAGCACCGCUUGCAGCCUCACGAGAUGGCCGCAUUGGCCGUCAAGGCCAGCUCCGCUCUCAUGAAAACCGCCGACAAAUGCGGCUCUCGCCGCAAACAGAUUUUGUUAUCUAACGAAUAUGACUCUAAUCCUAAGCGUGUUUCUCCCGCACUCGCUGUCGGCGCUGGAACUGUACAUAGGAGAGGUAGGGCCACCGCCUCCGCCGGUAAGGGGAGGUUUGCGGCGUUGUUGAGUUCCAUUCCGGAGUUGGAUAGUUUCUGAAGAGAAUAUAUGCUUCGGUGAUCUCGUUGGUUUGUACAUAAACAGCUUUAUCACAAGGAAAAAAAAAAGUAAUAUAAAAUUUUGGACAUUGUAGAGUUGUUUUAGGAACAAUGGAAACUAUUGGAUUCUGGAGAGUUGGACCAAGUCAUUAUGGAUAUUCAUUCGUAUUCCCUUUUAUUCUGUCUCCUCAUAUUAUUAACACGAGAGUCCCAUUUUAUGUUUUGACUGCAAAAUCGCAUGUCGCAGCAUGAGAAUACAUUUUUGUAGACCUUUUCAUUCUUCUUACGACAUCAAGUUAUUUAGGUCAUGAAAAUUAUUUAUUUAUUAUUUUUUUAUUCACACGGUCAAAAAUGUGUUCAAUUAAGUUCAACUAGAAAAUUUGUUUUGAUUAAUUUAGUUUCAAUUAAACUUUUUUUUGACAAACUUAAAUCAGAGUUUUUUUUAUUUCAGAAAUUGGUAUCUUUUUAACUUAAACCAACAAAUUGUUGGUUAAGAAACGAAAUUAUUGAAGAACAGUAACAUUGGUGUGAAGACUGAGACAUAUACUAACUGCCAUGAGGAAUUAAUUUAUACGGGACGUAAUAUAUUUUCAUUUAAUGAAAGUAAUGUGAUUGUGUGUAUUAUUAUGCAAUGAAGAUAAAGAUGGGGUGUGUUGCGACAAAAGUAGAAGGUGGUAGUGGACAGCAUAAGAAACAGAAAGCAGGAAUGAGGUGAGAUUAUGAAUGAAUUUGAGAAGGAUAGUGAAAUGAAAGAAACGACGAAAUAGAUCUAUUUGGGAUGAAAGGGUUAAACAAGUUAUGAUUGAAUGGGUUGACGAGUAACCUUAUCCUUAUCCGAUCCUCAGGCAUUUGUUAUAUGGUUAAAUUCCAAAGAGAUGGGACAAAGAAAUAUAAUUAUGCAUGUAAUGUGUUCUUUCCUGGUUUUGGACUUUUUCAUAUGGACCCAAUUCCUGCAAGCUGAAAGAAAGUUGAGGCUAUUAUAUUUAAUACCACUAUGUAUAUAUAAUUAAGUAAAGAUAACAAUAAUUUGAUGGAGGGUGAGACUGGGACGUGGACAAUAAAUAGACACUAGAGGGAUGAAUGUUGAAGAGAAUGGAGAAUUGAAGAAGAAAUCUUGGUUGAGCCAAUGAAAUAUCCCAUUUUGUGCGUGGUGUAGGUGAAGAAUCACGUAAGGAGUGUACAAAAUGGCAUAGAAAACACAGGGCAUGCUGGACCCAACAAAAACGAGUCAGAGUGAGCAGGUGGGGGUAUUGGGGUUUGGGUGAGUACUGUUUGUUUGUUAGGUUGUGGAAUUGUUUACAGCUGUAACAAGCCUGGUCGUACUGUAAUAAUAACACCACCAGAAAAAUCAUAUCAAUUUGGCUUCAGACUCAUCGUCACUCGUCGCAUAUGAGAUGAGUAGUGUGCUCUACAAAUGGGUCCUCAAACCAGCCUAGCCUCAGUCAAUGUGACUCAAUUCAAAUUAAUUUGAAGAAUAGAUGUUUCAUAACUCUCCUUGUGUAAACAUUGUUUGUUCAUGGAGAGUGCAGAAAUGUGCAGUUGCAGUGAUGAUGUGCAGGAGUUCCCAAAGAAAGUAGAUGGGUAUUGGGAAGGUGGUACGAAUAAAUGGUACCAUGACGACCACCAUGGGAAAUGUGAGGAGUGAGGAACCGAACCUGAUUAUGGGUUAGUUUCGACUUUGGAACAUGUUGUUUUUGUUUCGUCCAUUCCAUUUUUCUUCUAUUUUGUGCUGAUCUCAUUCCAAAGUUUGGCUACGUUAAUUACAUAUUAGGUUAUCGCUAAUUAAUUUCACAACAAGUUUAGGUUAUGGAGAAUGCUCUCCCUUCUACAACUGUCAUCUCUCAUGAUUUAUGACUUCCCUACCCAAACGCCAAAUCAAAUUUAAUUUCCAACAAUAUGUGCCCGCAUACCAUAAAUAUUUUCAACACUAAAAAAUAAUAUAAUAUUAAAGAUUCAAUUUUCUAAAUAACAUUUCCUUUUCUUUAGAGAACAUAAAUUAAUUAAGGAGAACACGAUAGAAAACGGGACUCACAUGGUCAGUGAAAUCUAGGUAAAUUUGACCUAGUAUAUAAAAAAGUGAUGGAGUACAUUGUUGCUGUUUCUGAUUAUUGGCUGUAAAGUUCCGUAGAACAGGUGAGAUGAAGUAAUUGUUUAUCACAUAUUUGCAAACUACUCCAAGUUUUAUUGAUUCAAUUUUCGAGACGAGUUUAAAGAGAAGAAGGCAACUUUUACUCUCUCAUUAUUAAGUCAAGUUUUCUAUAAGUGAUUUUUUAUCAAAGUUUCUGGUGGGAAUGCAAAGUUUUUAACUUUCUUUUUGGAUUUGCAGCUGGCAUCAUGACAACUGUGCUUGUAAAAUCAAUUGACGGUGUGACCUAUUUAGUUUAAUUAUAUUUGGCAAUGGAUGUUAUACUUAGGUAGAAUGUUUGAAUUUUACUUUAAAUUAAUAAAUUAUAAAUAUUCAGUUAUGUCAAUACUUUUUUCAAAAAAAAAUCAUUAAAUAAAAAUUAAUUUAAAAAAAAAUAUUAUUUUAUAUAUUAAAUCUAAAGCAUAAGUGAACUUUAGUUCUCUAUAGAAUAUCUGGAAUAACAUGAAUUUGAAACAUCUGUAAUUUUCAGUUGAAAGAUAAGGCUCUAGUAGAGGUAGAGAUAUUGAUGAAUGCUGUUUGAAGCUAAUGCAAGAGUAUUAUGAUAAGCUUUGUCCAAAAGAAUAUUAGAUUAUAUUUGUUUAGAUUUAAUAAAUCCCCUGCAUACUUUGAAAGAAUGACGAAGUUGAUUCAUUUAUCUUGAAAAGAGAUUUAUUGUUUAUUGUUUAUUAUCAUCCUUUUUUUUGUUUAUUGUUCAAAUGUUUGAUAAAUGUUAUACCAAUAAGAGAGCAAGAGGCUUCUUAAAAAGUUGGAUGAAAUGAUCAACCAAAAGCAAAGAAGAAAAUGCAUGUAUAUAAAUUAAUUUUGAAGUUGGGGUUAAAUAAUUUUACAAAAGUUGAAUUGAACAUAAAUUGAAAUUCAAACAUGUUCUUCAGGUAAACAUGUUUAAGCCUUUAUUAUUUGCCUUUUUAGGGUUUAGGUUUGAGUGAAGGAGGAAAAGUUGAGGGCAACACCUAUGGUUGGAGUUUUAGUAUUCCAGCAAAAGUAUAUAUACAUAAUUAUGAUAGGUGGUGUAGGUAGGUUAGAGAAAGUUUCAUUGCAAAGGAAAACCAGAUAAAUCAUUAAACGGAACAUAGUUAAAUUUGUAGGGUUGCAGAGUUGGAAAGAUGAUGAAGAAAGUAGCUGUUUUCUGUGUCUCCAGAUUCGCCCAUAGUAAACCAUACAACACUUUAUACUUUAUGGUAAAUUCAUUUUUAAACUUAUGAUUGUUUCAUUUUAAUUCUCUAUUCUUUUAAUUAUACUUUUUACUACUAUUAUAAAAUAAAAUAAAUAAGUUGUAUAAAGUUAAAGUAAAAUGAAAAUAUUACAAUUAAGAACUGAAUUAGGUUAACUUCAAUUUUUUGAUCUGUUUUCUGUCAGGUUACCAAUACUUAACCCUGGUUUUCCUAAUAGAAACAAACAUGGUUUUUAAAAAGACAUUUCUCUAUUUACUUCGAUCCAAACUUUUUUCAAAUUCUUUUUUAUUAUAUAUUGGGUGAUCUUCCAAGUUAAUUCUAGAAAGACAAAAUUAAGUUACAAUGCAAGAAAAGAUUGUGAAAACAACAUUUUGAUUGACUUGAGCUAGCAUAGAUUUAACUUUAUAUUCUAUAAGGUUGCCACAUGCCAAAGAAAAAACCUUAAAAGUGUAAGUUGAGAGAGUGAAAUAUGCCAUUGGAUGCUGGUCAAGUGGUUUGAAUGUCAAUUAACAGUUAUGUGUAAUUGGUCCAGAACAUGAUCAAUGUUUAAAUUAUUAAUUUUUUUACACUAUCUUCUGAAUAAUGAAAAUAUAAGUAAAAUGAAGUGAAUUUAUUAUAAUAUUUCUUAAUAUUAAUUAUGAUUAUACUGGUCAUAAUUGAGAACACGAUAUCAAUAAUAAUUAUAUAAUCAUUUCAGAAUUUUUUUAAAUAAAUUUAGGAAAGUUCUUUCUAAAAUUUAUCAAGAUAUAAAUAAAUUUUAAAAUAUACAAAUAUAAGAAUUUUGUGUAUUAAUUGUUUUUGGCAUACAUGCUUUAGAAUGACUUUUUUUUUAUGUGUUUUGAAACACCACUUUAUAUAUACUUUUAUAUAUAUAUAUAUAUAUAUAUAAUUAAAUGUGUUUUGACAUACCAUUUCUAUAUUAUAAAUAGUAACAUCCCAUUAUAUAUAACAUAUAUUAUCACUAAUAAAAAAAAUCAUAAUAGAAACCAAUUUUUAGAGACAAAAAUAAUUAGUUGCAAUAGUUGCUAUUAUUUUGUAUGUAAUUUUUAGACAAAACCAUUUUAGAAACUAAAAAAAUGUUUAUAAAUUAGUUGCUAUUAUUGUUAAAUAGUUUUUAAAUUGGUAUCUAACUAGCAACCAAGGUUUUUCUACCAAAUUUAGAAACUAAAUAAUUUGUAGUUAAAACCUUAGUUGUUAAUUAGAUACCAAUUUAAAAAUUAUUUAACAAUAAUAGAAACUAAUUUAGAAACCAAUUUUUUUUAAAUGGUCUCUAAUUUAGUUACUAUUGCAACUAAUUAUUUUAAUUUCUACAAAUUCGUUUUUAUUUUAAGAUUUUCUUGUAGUGUAUAAACAUUGGAAUAUUUUGUUUUGAAAAUAAUAUGUAAAUAUUUAGUUCUAAAGAAAAUAGAAAUAUUUGUUUUUUAUGUUGUUUCAUACUCGUCAUGUCAUAUAAAUAUGCUUAUAAUAGUUUAUAUAAUUAUAGGGUUGAGCUAAUUUAAAGAUAAUUAUCAUAUAUAACUAGAUAUAUAUCAUUCACACCAUAAUAUUUACAUAGGAGAUAUAUGAUAAAUUACAAUUAAAUAAUUGUCAACUAAAAUGCAUGAAUUUAAUCAUAUACAUUCACUCGUAAAGAGCAAUUCAAAUUUGUAUGUAAUUUUAUAUUCUUAUUAUUUAUUUUAUUUUAUUUUAUUUUUAUUAUUAUCAUUAUUAUUACAAGAGAUUAAAUCCUUAAUAAAUAAUGAACUAAUCCAUGAAUAGACUGAAUUUGAUCAUCACUUUCUUAUCUUCUUAAAUCUGAGAGUAUAAGUAUCUUAAUUAUUUUUUAAACUUAUAGAGAAUUAAAUAACUGAAUUUUAAUCAAAUAAAACUAAAUAAUAUAUAUAAUUUAUUUUAAAAAAAUAUUCUUUAUAUAUUUAAAAUUUAUCUUUGUUGUAAAUGUUAUAUAAGUCAUGUUUUAAAACAGGGCGUACAAUAACAUGUAGUUUUUAAAAGAAGUUUGACGAUGGUUGUAAUUUUUACCAAAAGAAAUAUUAUAUAAAUAAAAUAAAAGUUUGUAUAAGAAUAAUAAUAAUGUUAAUGAUGACGAAAGAUAAAAUAAAGUUUGAAUGAAAAAAAAAAUAUAUGGAUUUUCUUACUUUGUAUUUUUCAUUAUAAGAACAAUCCGUUCUUACCAUUGAAAAUUUAUUCUCACUCCUAUUGGUAUUAUUCAGUUAUAAAACUUUGAGUAUUUGCGAAGUAUAAAACUCUUAAAAAAGUAAAGUUUGAUGGUUGUUCUAUCUUGAGGGACCAUAACUAUGCAACUUUUUCUAAUUUUAGUUUAUAUAUAUAUAUAAUAUAAUUAAAUACAUUUAACUAAUUUGAUAGUUUAGGUACCCAAACACUUCUUCUUUCUUUACCAUUUAUCAAUUUAACUUAAUUUUAUAAAAUUAACUUAUAAAAUAAAAUUUACCUCUAUUUAUUUAUUUAUUUUAAAAUAUUUUUAUUUCUAAUUAUAUGAUAUAUCUUAAACAACUCUCUUUGUCUCAAAUAAUAAGAAUGUAAUAUCGUUACAUUUGCUUCUUAAAGCCUUCGAAUUUGUAACGGCUUUUAGGUGUAGCUGCAUAUCAAACCGCUAAAAUUUAAUCCAUAACAUGCAUUACUUAUAAUUACUUAUAAGUAUAUGUUGUUACAAAAUGUUUUUAUCAUUUGUAAUAAUAUUACUCUUCUCCCAAGACUCCAAAUUAUUUUUUUUUUAUAAAAUAGGAUAUUUUUUUUUAUUUUUCUUAAAAGAGUGUGAAAAAUUGGUAUAAAUAUAUAAUGUUGAGAUAUUAUUCACAUUGUUCAUAAGUCGAGGUUAAAGGUAGUUUAAAUACUUCAUCAUCUCUCAAUUUAUUGAUGCAUCUUUUAAAGAUAAAACUGUGAAAAAAUACUGACUUUCAAAACAAAAAAAACUUUAACAAUAUUAUCUUUCCAACUUAAGUUUGAAACAUAAAAUGCUAUCUCUCUUAAACUUAUACUCCAAAAUUACACUGAUAAAAAUGAAAGUUACACAUUAAACUCUAAACCUAAAUAUUUACACUCAACUCUGAAAACAAACUUUCAUCCCCUUUACAUCUUUAAAUAGGCAUAUACGUUUCUCAUGUUUUUAAUAAAUUGUUUAUGUUCUUAAAAAUACUUACUUCCUUAUUUUAUUUAUGAAAAAUAUUUAUUUAUUGAAAAUUAUUUUGUUUUUAUAUUUUCAAGUUUUAAGUUUUAAGUUUUAAUUUUUAUAAUUUUUAUUUGUUUUAAUUAUUAUUUUAAAAUAAAAAUGUCGUUUUCUUAAAAAUAUGAGAAAAAUCAGUUUUAUUUAUUAAAAAAUAUAGGAAGGUGGAUGUUCAUUUAAAAGUUAAAAGAAGUCAUAAAUUUGUAUUGUAAACAUAAAAAAUAAAAGUUAGAAAAAAUAUUAUUGUAAACAUAAAAAAUAAAUUUUUAUUUUAAAUUUAGAGGAUACACGAAAUUUACUUAAAAUACAUGGAGGUAAUGAUUUUUUUUACUCUAUCUUAAUCCUCAACUAAAAUUAAAAGAAAAAGUGAAGCACUGUUUUUAUAAUCAAUUCAAUUUCAUAAAUUCAACAUCCACUUAAAUUAUCUACACCUAUAAAAUUGUUAGCACAUAAUCCUAUAUAAGUGCUGACCAAAAAAAAUAUUAAAUAUGAACAUAAGUUUCAAAUAUUCUUAAAAUGAUGAUUAAGAAAAGAGAGAGGAGUAAUGAUCCAUGACGCAAAAGAUGAAUGUUACGGGAACAUAAAUAAAACUAAAAUGCUAUAAUCUAUAAUCGUACGACUUUUAACAAGUCUCAUGGUAGAAUGAGCCUAACACUGUUGCACCCUUCACCACAUAAUUCC